rnacentral:rRNA from 1 species
GACGAGCCACACAAACGUUAUUCGGAAUUACUGGGCUUAAAGGGUGCGUAGGCGGCGCGGAAAGUUGGGUGUGAAAGCCCUCGGCUCAACCGAGGAAUUGCGCCCAAAACUACCGUGCUUGAGGAAGAUAGAGGUGAGCGGAACUCAGGGUGGAGCGGUGAAAUGCGUUGAUAUCCUGAGGAACACCGGUGGCGAAAGCGGCUCACUGGAUCUUUUCUGACGCUGAGGCACGAAAGCCAGGGGAGCAAACGGG